UGAUGGCCUGCAAACAAAUAGUAAAAUAGUAUGUGAUGUCAUGAAAAUUAAUUGUAUUUUUCCUUCUAGAUUUUGCAUAUAGAAGACGGUAAUUUUAAAAACAGUGAAAGAAGAAAUGUAUCUGAGAAUUCAAUCAGUCAAUAGACUUUAGACAUCUGAAAAGAAAACACAAGAGGUUCGGUUGGUGCAAUGUUCCUUUCUUCCCAGGACUUUCUGGUCUUCAAGGCUUUCUCAUGAGACAGAAGACUGAUGGAUGUAGAAGUUUCUAAGAGGACAGUUACGCUGCCAUGUUUUGAAGCAGGAAGACGUUACCACUUCUCAAAGGUCUUUAAUUGCCUGACCACUGCUUCUCUUUGGAAGGCUGUCAGGGUGAUGGAAUCUCAGAUCACAGCACAGAUAAAAUGGACAAAGAAAGAAAGAUACAAGAAGGAUGUAAAAAUGUCCAUAAUGAACUCAUGUAUCUUGCGGAAACCUCUAAUCUAAUGAGAAUGGAUUUUGUUGAGAAGAUUGUACACCAACAAUUAAUUAUUCAUGGCAGAGACAUCAUUAAGAUUUCAUUUUGUUUAAAGGCCUCUAAGUGACUUAGGAAAUUAGGUUAAGCUAGAGAAGAAUUUCAAGAAAGAGACAAGGGAAAGCUUUUCGUUAUAUUGACUUUUUCUAAUAUUUUCCAGAUAGAUAUUUUGACUUGGUACAUAAAUUAUACUCUGACUAAAAAUCUCCAAUGAUUUGUCUGAGUAAGAGUCUUCACAUGGGUGGAUCAUAUACCAGUGUGGUCAGAUGGAAGCAGAUGGACAGAGAUUUGUGAAAGGAUUAGG
rnacentral:lncRNA from 1 species